AAACUGAAGAGUUUGAUCAUGGCUCAGAUUGAACGCUGGCGGCAGGCCUAACACAUGCAAGUCGAGCGGCAGCGGGAUCUAGCUUGCUAGAUUGCCGGCAAGCGGCGGACGGGUGCGUAACACGUAGGAAUCUACCCAGUAGCGGGGGAUAGCCCGGAGAAAUUCGGAUUAAUACCGCAUACGCCCUACGGGGGAAAGCAGGGGAUCUUCGGACCUUGCACUAUUGGAUGAGCCUGCGUCGGAUUAGCUAGUUGGUGGGGUAAAGGCCUACCAAGGCAACGAUCCGUAGCUGGUCUGAGAGGAUGAUCAGCCACACUGGGACUGAGACACGGCCCAGACUCCUACGGGAGGCAGCAGUGGGGAAUAUUGCACAAUGGGCGAAAGCCUGAUGCAGCCAUGCCGCGUGUGUGAAGAAGGCUCUAGGGUUGUAAAGCACUUUCAGCGAGGAGGAAAGGGUGUUGAUUAAUACUCAGCAUCUGUGACGUUACUCGCAGAAGAAGCACCGGCUAACUCCGUGCCAGCAGCCGCGGUAAUACGGAGGGUGCGAGCGUUAAUCGGAAUUACUGGGCGUAAAGCGUGCGUAGGCGGCUCGUUAAGUUAGAUGUGAAAGCCCCGGGCUUAACCUGGGAACUGCAUCUAAAACUGGCGAGCUAGAGUGCGGAAGAGGAGUGUGGAAUUUCCUGUGUAGCGGUGAAAUGCGUAGAUAUAGGAAGGAACACCAGUG
rnacentral:ncRNA from 2 species